UAGAGUUUGAUCAUGGCUCAGGAUGAACGCUAGCGACAGGCUUAACACAUGCAAGUCGAGGGGCAGCGGUGGUGAAGGCUUGCCUUCACCAGCCGGCGACCGGCGCACGGGUGAGUAACACGUAUGCAACCUGCCUGCCACAGCCGGAUAAUCGGGAGAAAUUCCGUCUAAUACGGCAUAAUGCAUCGACGGGACAUCCUGUUGGUGCCAAAGGUUAAUUCCGGUGGCGGAUGGGCAUGCGUCGCAUUAGUUAGUUGGCGGUGUAACGGACCACCAAGACGACGAUGCGUAGGGGUUCUGAGAGGAAGGUCCCCCACACUGGUACUGAGACACGGACCAGACUCCUACGGGAGGCAGCAGUGAGGAAUAUUGGUCAAUGGGCGGGAGCCUGAACCAGCCAAGUCGCGUGAGGGAUGACGGCCCUAUGGGUUGUAAACCUCUUUUGCCGGGGAGCAAAGUGCCGCACGUGUGCGGUUUGGAGAGUACCCGGAGAAAAAGCAUCGGCUAACUCCGUGCCAGCAGCCGCGGUAAUACGGAGGAUGCGAGCGUUAUCCGGAUUUAUUGGGUUUAAAGGGUGCGUAGGCGGACGCUUAAGUCAGCGGUAAAAUUGCGGGGCUCAACCUCGUCGAGCCGUUGAAACUGGGUGCCUUGAGUGGGCGAGAAGUACGCGGAAUGCGUGGUGUAGCGGUGAAAUGCAUAGAUAUCACGCAGAACUCCGAUUGCGAAGGCAGCGUACCGGCGCCCAACUGACGCUGAAGCACGAAGGCGUGGGUAUCGAACAGGAUUAGAUACCCUGGUAGUCCACGCAGUAAACGAUGAAUGCUAGUUGUCCGGGGCGAUUGAGUUCUGGGUGAC
rnacentral:rRNA from 1 species